rnacentral:rRNA from 1 species
GGUUCAGGAUGAACGCUAGCUACAGGCUAACACAUGCAAGUCGAGGGGCAGCAUGAUCAAAGCUUGCUUUGAUUGAUGGCGACCGGCGCACGGGUGAGUAACGCGUAUCCAACCUUCCCUAUAGUAGAGGAUAGCCCGGCGAAAGUCGGAUUAAUACUCUAUGUUUUCCAAUGCAGACAUCUAAAAUGGAACAAAGGUUUACCGCUAUAGGAUGGGGAUGCGUCUGAUUAGGUAGUCGGCGGGGUAACGGCCCACCGAGCCCUCGAUCAGUAGGGGUUCUGAGAGGAAGGUCCCCCACAUUGGAACUGAGACACGGUCCAAACUCCUACGGGAGGCAGCAGUGAGGAAUAUUGGUCAAUGGGCGCGAGCCUGAACCAGCCAAGUAGCCGUGCAGGAUGACGGCCCUAUGGGUUGUAAACUGCUUUUAUACAGGGAUAAAGUGGGGAACGUGUUCCCUUUUGUAGGUACUGUAUGAAUAAGGACCGGCUAAUUCCGUGCCAGCAGCUGC